rnacentral:rRNA from 1 species
UACGUAGGGUGCAAGCGUUAAUCGGAAUUACUGGGCGUAAAGCGUGCGCAGGCGGUUUUGUAAGUCUGACGUGAAAGCCCCGGGCUUAACCUGGGAAUUGCGUUGGAGACUGCAAGGCUUGAAUCUGGCAGAGGGGGGUAGAAUUCCACGUGUAGCAGUGAAAUGCGUAGAGAUGUGGAGGAACACCGAUGGCGAAGGCAGCCCCCUGGGGCAAGAUUGACGCUCAUGCACGAAAGCGUGGGGAGCAAACAGG